GAACGAAGGCUUCGGCCUUAGUGGCGCACGGGUGAGUAACGCGUGGGAAACUGCCUAUCGGUGGGGAAUAACGACGGGAAACUGUCGCUAAUACCGCAUACGCCCUUCGGGGGAAAGAUUUAUCGCCGAUAGAUGUGCCCGCGUCCGAUUAGCUAGUUGGUGAGGUAAUGGCUCACCAAGGCUACGAUCGGUAGCUGGUCUGAGAGGAUGAUCAGCCACACUGGGACUGAGACACGGCCCAGACUCCUACGGGAGGCAGCAGUGGGGAAUAUUGGACAAUGGGCGAAAGCCUGAUCCAGCAAUGCCGCGUGAGUGAUGAAGGCCUUAGGGUUGUAAAGCUCUUUCGGGUGGGACGAUGAUGACGGUACCACCAGAAGAAGCCCCGGCUAACUUCGUGCCAGCAGCAUCGGUAAU
rnacentral:rRNA from 1 species